CUUUGGUGUAGGAAAGAGGGAAACCAGAAUGACGGCUGAUAGUUACAGAGCCUCUGAUUACAAAUAAAAACAAGUGAACCUGCCAUGAUGGAGAAACCAGGACGCAAUCCACUCUCCAAAUAGAAGUGUUUACAGCAUGUGAACGUGAGAUCAAGGAAGCUGGGCAAUGUGAACUGCCUGAACCCCACAGGUCACUGAACUGAAACAGGAAAUCAGAAGAAAGGCAAGGGAGAAAAAACAUUCUUGGGAGGGGGAAAAGACAGCAUAAACAAGAACAGGAAGGGGAAUGCAGGUAUGUGCUGGCCCCUCCCAACAGCCUGUAUGGCUGCUGUCUGCUGGCAACUUCUACCCUCAAUAAGGAAGAGAACAGGCCCAAGCAAAGGGCAGAGAAUGGUUUCAAGAUGCUUUCCUGCUUUUGGGAGACCACCAUCCCAAACUCUGGGACAUUUUGUGUUUCAGAGGAUCUAUCAAGGGGCAGAGCACUGUGGAUUUUGCUAUAAUAUUAAGGACAAGCCAGUCAGUAGUUAGACAGUGAAUGCACCUAAUAAUUCGGUACUGCGGGGACGAAAUACUCAAAGCUCUUCUUUCCUUUGGAGUAAAGAAAACCCCUGUGGCAGCUCUCCCAUAAGAGGCUCUCAAGAUGGGUUUUCUUCGUACAAAAAUAAGAAACAAAGGUUCCAGAUGGAGAGGCUCACAUUGUCGGCAGAUUUAGAAAAACUCCCCUGGAAUCUGUAUGGGUGAUGCAGUUUGGUGCAGACUGACAAAUGUCGGCACAAACCAUCAUCAGAAGGGUGCAAUUGGAGGAAUGAGCAGGAAUUCUCAGGGGCUUGAUUCAGAUCAAGUGUCACACAUAGCACAGACAGAGAAGUACCUGGGAUUGAACUGAGGACCUUGUGCUUGCCAAGCAGUCUGGGACAUACGACUGAAGGAAGAAGACAAACUAAACGCAGGCAACAGAUGUGUGAUAAAAGAGGAACAGAGAGAAGAGCAAACAGAAGUGAGGAAGAGUCGUGGAAUACAUUUCUAAAAUUAGGUCCAAACUCAAUUCUGUAAUAGGAGGCUUCUUGACAAAACAGCUUGCUGAUCGUGUUAGAAAAUCUGGAGGAACACACACAUUUCCGUUUCCAUUUAUCCACUAAAUGCUGCUUUGCCGGAUUUUAGAAUGUCAGAAUGCUAACUGGGCAAUUUAAACUUUGGGGAUCUUAUUUUGUAUUUGUUUGAGGGAAAAAACAUCUCUAAGGUGCGGUUUUUCUUAGAAUAAGGUUUUCAUCCUGACCAUUCUCCUUCUACCUGCACAACUGCCAAGAUUAAUUUACAGAAAAUGGAAGCAGGACAUGCUAUGCCUGUGCAUGAACCUGGAGUGUGGAGAGAAGAGGAGGCUAUCACCCUGGAGAG
rnacentral:lncRNA from 1 species